GAGGGUGUAGCUCAGUGGUAGAGCAUGUGCUUAGCAUGCAUGAGGUCCUGGGUUCAAUCCCCAGUACCUCCU
rnacentral:tRNA from 1 species